UGUUUUUAGUUGGGGUUAUUACAGGAUUUAAAAUAACAUUUAUGUUCCAACAAACUCUCCUUUAUUUUGUAGCUUUCCUGCAGGGUCAUAACUCAAUCAAUAGUCUUUAGAAGAGAUUAAAUAUCAGCAGUUGUCUUGGUGGGUUUGUGUUUGGAGCUUGCCUCAGGUGGUGGUUAUACUUUGGAGUUUGGAGUGAAUGACAUCUGUGAUGGGUCUGUUUGAGUUUAGCAUUGAAACGUGCCUUAGGGCUGGCACGCUACUGAAAACCAGAUUUCAACAGAACCUCAGAACGCUGAUGCUGUGUGACGUUGAUGACCAGAUAUUCAAAGUCUUUGCAAUUUCACAUUGAGGACCAUGAUUCUGAAAUUGGUUUGCAAAAUUGCAGACUGAACCUCUGCCCAUCUCGAAUUCUGAGAAAGUCUUCCUCUCUGAGAUGCUUUUUAUACACAGUCAUGUUACGGUCCUGUUGCCAGUUAACUUAGUUUAAUUGGUUACAAAGUGUUCCUCCAGCUGUUUCUUGUUAGUACCACUUCUUUAGGUUUUUUUUUUGUUUGUUUGUUUUUUUUUGUUCUCAUCCCCGUGCUUUUGAGAUAUGUUGCUGCCAUCUCAGCAUUCUUAAAAUUGGGUUUGUAUGUUUGCAAUAAAAU